GGGGCUGUAGCUCAGUGGGUAGAGCGCUUGCCUAGCAUGCAUGAGGCACUGGGUUCAAUCCUCAGCACCCCA
rnacentral:tRNA from 1 species